GAGUUUGAUCAUGGCUCAGGAUGAACGCUGGCGGCGUGCCUAACACAUGCAAGUCGAACGGAGUUUAUGAGGAAGAAGCUUCGGCGGAAUUCUUAUAAACUUAGUGGCGGACGGGUGAGUAACACGUGGAGAACCUGCCUCUUACCGGGGGACAGCAGUUGGAAACGACUGAUAAUACCGCAUAAGCGCACGAGACCGCAUGGUCCUGUGUGAAAAGAUUUAUCGGUGAGAGAUGGCUCCGCGUCUGAUUAGCCAGUUGGCGGGGUAACGGCCCGACCAAAGCGACGAUCAGUAGCCGGCCUGAGAGGGUGAACGGCCACAUUGGGACUGAGACACGGCCCAGACUCCUACGGGAGGCAGC
rnacentral:rRNA from 1 species